rnacentral:rRNA from 1 species
UACGUAGGCAGCGAGCGUUGUUCGGAGUUACUGGGCGUAAAGGGUGUGUAGGCGGUUAUUUAAGUUUGGUGUGAAAUCUCCCGGCUCAACCGGGAGGGUGCGCCGAAUACUGAAUGACUUGGAGUGCGGGAGAGGUGGAGUGGGAAUUCCUGGUGUAGCGGUGAAAUGCGUAGAUAUCAGGAGGAACACCUGCGGUGUAGACGGCUUACCUGGACCAUAACUGACGCUGAGGCACGAAAGCGUGGGUAGCAAACAGG